AGGACACCAACUUGGCGCUGAGCGGGCUCCUGGACGGGAUCGUGGCGGAGCGGGCUGCGCUGCCGGAGCUCGAGAGGGGGCAGAAGAACUUCCUCUCGGUGCUGCUCAACGCCAGGGAGAGCACCGAGGCCUUGAGGAAUGUGUUCACGCCCGACUACGUGAGCGCGCUCACGUACGAGCACCUGCUCGCCGGGGCCGUCACCAUGUCCUUCACGCUCUCGAGCCUCGUGUACCUGGUGGCCGCGCACCCGGAGGUGGAGGAGAAGCUUCUCCGGGAGAUCGACGCGUUCGGGCCCAAGGACGUGGUGCCCAGCGCUGAGGAGCUCCACAACAAUUUCCCCUACCUAGAGCAGGUAUAUAUGACGUCUAGCUACAGUAUGUUUUAAUUAACGAUUAAACCUGAAUUUUGAAGCUAAUUAAACCCUAAACCUAAUAUAUAGGUCUUGAAGGAGACCAUGAGAUUUUUCACCGUGUCUCCGCUAAUUGCAAGGGAGGCAUCCGAAGAUGUUGAAAUUGGAGGCUAUCUCUUGCCCAAGGUAUUAAUUCUUUAUCUGCAUUCCACGAGGUCCUCAUUAGUACAUCUUUAUCAAGUUUUGCAUCCGACAAAAAUUCCCAGAAAGCACGACUUUUUUAUUACGAAAUAAGCUACUCCCUCCAACCGGUCUUGUCUCAAAUUUAUCCAAAUACAGAUGUAUCUAUAAGUAAAAAACGUCUACAUAUAUGUAAUAUUUUUACAAGUAAUUCCUACCGGCCGGAGGGAGUAGCAUUUAUGCUCCUCGAUCGACUAAUGUGUUGGUUCUACAAGUCAAAUUUCUUAGUACAUCAUUGUUUGUUUGUACAUUCCCAACAACAAUUCUGACAACCCACAAUCUGGUGCAAAUUAAUGUAUGCAAGGGCACAUGGAUAUGGUUGGCACCAGGCGUGCUAGCAAAAGACCCGAAGCAGUUCCCGGACCCUUAUGUGUUCCGUCCCGAGAGGUUCGAUCCUGAGAGCGAGGAAUGCAAGCAGAGGCACCCCUACGCCUUCAUCCCCUUUGGCAUUGGUCCUCGGGCAUGCAUCGGACAGAAGUUCUCCAUGCAGCAGCUCAAGCUCGUCGUCGUCCACCUCUACCGCCAGUACGUCUUCAGGCACUCACCAAAUAUGGAGGCCCCCCUUCAGUUCCAGUUCUCCAUUGUUGUCAACUUCAAGCACGGUGUCAAGCUCCAUGUCAUUGAGAGGAAUGCAUGAUGUGUGUGCGACAAGUGGCGUACAAUAAGCAUGCCAAAUGGACUGCAUAUAUAGGGCCUGUUUGAUUUACAACCAAAAGUAGCCUCACCAAAAAAUUGUCUUGCCCAUGAAAUUUGGUUGGUGUUUGGAUGGACUCCAAAAUUUUGGCUCGCCCAGCCCAUCUGGGGCGCGCCCGUGCGUUUCCACGCGAAGUAUUGGCGAGUCGAGGGCAAUAAAAAGCUCCGCCAAAGAAUUGACAACGCCCCUCACCCUCUAAUCUCUGGUGGCCCACAACCCGUUCUUCUCAAGGGGUGCCUAACGAACACAGAAAAAUACGGUUUCCGGCCGCGCGUGUAUCUCCACACCGAUCGCUUUUCCGUUUUUCUUGUAUCUUUCUCCUCCUUUUCCUCUAGCUAAGCACACCAUGGGUCGAAUCAGAGCAGAAAUAUCAAAGGAACAGGUGCUUUUGCUCUGUGAAAAAGCGAAUCGGUGCAUCAAAGAGAAAGUUCAGCAAACUUUUACAACUGUCUCGAUCCACUACUCUGAUCGAUCAGUUACUUCUAGAUCUACCUCGAGAAUAAAUAAGUGGUUCAUGCUAAAAUUUUACGAGAAAUAAUUGUAGCACGAUUAUUAUAAGUUUGAGUUAAGUUGGCUGCAAACCAAAUGUGGGAAUAAAAAGUUUGCCAAAAAGUUGGCAUUGCAAUGGUAGCAAUCCAAACAACACCCUCUUACCAAAGGUCAUGCCCUUGUUUUGAUCAUGCCAAAAUUUGCCAAAAAAAAAUGGUGGGGCUGAUUGGGGCUCCAAACAUAACCUGGUUUAGAGCCAAUAUGUACCAAGCCAAUUUUUUGGUGUUGUUUGGAUGAUUGCCAACUUUUUGGCUUGCCAAUGUUACUUUGUCAGUUCACUUUUUUUUUUUGUUAAAGUUGGCCAAAUCAUGAGGAAACAAAAGAACAAUCAAAUUUUGACAGAGCGAUGAUGGCUAAAACCAACCAGCCCCUGAUUUACAAGUUGGGGGUGGAGGAGCUGCUUCCCGGCCUUGACUUGAAUUCCUCUGCUAGCUGCUGUCCAGACAGAGUGAGUCUAGUCGUGUCUUGUCUUCUCAUGUGGGUUUGGCUGAGCCUGAGCCUGAGCCUGAGGGCAGUCGAGUUCAAGUCUGGACUCAUGACUUGGUUGAGUCCAACUCAUACUCUUUGCUCGCUGCAUGCACACAGGUCAAACCAGACAGAAAUCCCCAAAUCCACAGAAUCGAUCAUUGCAUCAUCGUCUUGGAUCGAGCAGCAGCCAAGCCAUGGCGGCACAAGACUCUUCCUCCGGCGACACAAGGCUGAGAUCCGCUCUCACGGUGAGCGCCGACGACCGCGCGCGCCUCCACGCCCUCUUGCAGGACUCUCCGUCUCCGGCUCCGGCUCCGGCAGCAGCGAACAAUACUAGUCAACAUCAUGUGGCAAGCUUCUUCGAGGGGUUGGCGCUGCGAGGGAUCCGCGUCCUCAGCAUCCAGCCAGGCCUCAUCCGCUGCUCCUACACCGUCCCAAACCACCUCACAGUAUGUGCUUUCAUCCCUUCUUCUUCAUCCAACCUUUUCCAUUUCUCUCGCCUCACCAAAACACACAACACGGCACGCAGGACGCCGCCACGGGCUGCCUGGCCGCCGGCGCCGUGGUGUCCCUGGUGGACGAGGUCGGCUCGGCGGCCGCCAUCGCCGACGCGCAGAACCUCAAGGUCUCCGUCGACAUGUCCGUCGCCUUCGCCGACCUCUCCCAGGCGCGCCCGGGGGACAAGCUCUGCAUCGUCGCCAGGGCCUUGGGGCACAAGGGCGCCUACUCCGGGACGCACGUGCUCUUCACCAACGCCGGCAAUGGCCGCGUCGUCGCCGAGGGCAGGCACUCCCUCUUCGGCAACAUGAAGAAGAAGACUACAACUCCUGCUCCUGCUCCUGCUGCUCACACCAGGAGCAACAUGUGAUGUAUCAUCUACUGCGUAUCUACUACUAAGCUCAUUCAUCAUGUAUGUAUUCUGUAAUGCUUAUCUACUACGUACGAAUUAGCUCAUUCAUCAUGUACUGUACUACUAUAACCCUGCAGUUUGAGCAUACCAACUAGCAAGCAUUUCCAGUUCCUGUUGUAAUAACAAUGAUAAAAGAUAACAACCACCAGAGGACAUCAUCAAACAGUUAAUUGCAUUCCUUCUGGCUCAUCAUCGUCAUCACACCAGAAUAUUGUCUGCUGAGGCUAAUGUUUUGUCCAUCCACCACAAAAUAAGAACUACUUUCAGAUCCAGAAUUCUAUUUUGGGUGCUAUGAAUAACCCACUACAGAUUUUAUUACAGUUGCGCUGUCAAAUUUUAACCCUUUUGUUGCCGAUUCUCUCAAGGGGAAAACUUCCUCUGCGAAAAAUAAAUGUGCAAAGUCUUUCUUCUUGUAUACCACCACCACCCAGGCACCCACUACAAAAAUCGGACAUCUUCUAGUUUCCAGGCUUCCUCACAAACGCCUUUUGGACCUGCACAGGUACAGCACAAAACAAGUUAUUCUACAGUCCAUUUGACAUGCUUACAUACUUCCACUGUGAUAGUUAUCAACUUGUUUACCUGCUCCAGUGUCAAGAACAUAAUCACAUUCCAUGAUCCCAGCCUAGCAAAGUUUGGAAGGAAGCCUUUGUAAAAUGCCAGAGGUCCCUGCACACACAACUCCUACGUAUUAGCAACCUGCUCCGACUUACUUUGCAUUCAACGGGUAUAUAACUAAAUCAGUGCCUGGGAGCCAGGGAUGUCCAGAAUAUUCACUUCACAGAUAUCACCGAGUAUACCAUUCACAAAGCAUAGCUCAAGAGAUACUUAAGCAAUUUGAUACACACAGUGGAGAACAGUAUCAACAUAUUGUGCAGUGCAGAAUUAAGCUUGACAUGCCAUCAUUAAUUGACAUAAAUAAAGAGUUAAAUGUUAGGAGAUGAAAAUAACAUAACUCCUACAAUGUGCUGUCGCGGACAGAAAGCUGUAUAGGUACACGGUGAUAUAUAAACAACGGAGUUCCCAUGAUGACAUGAUUGCUUGGAUAUAAAAAGGCUGUUGAUCUGUUCAAUUUCAAGAACCACCAGAAGGCUGUCACUAUUUCAUGAUGACAACCUUCAGGCCAGUUAAUUCGAAGAGAGUAUGCAUAAGUGGCCAAUGAAUUAUCUACUCUAAUACCAUACUACAAAUGAAUAUCAAUAUGAAACUGUGAACUGUAUAAGCAAAUGUGUCCUAGAUGCUAGAUGUGUUUGAAAGAAACUGUUAUAUAUAAGUACUCUCAUCUAAUUCUGACUCAAAAGAUAAAAGUCAUGAACAACAGGGUAGAACAUACAUCAUUUUUUAAGGUCUGCACAAAGCAAUCGACAGUACUCUUGUAAGCUGAGUCACCCAUCAUUCUUGACUUAACCUGCAGGAAGGUGUGUUCAAAGGUUGUGUUACCCCAACAGUGUAAAGAGAAACCAUGUUUGCACAUCUACAAUGCAAGAAUUCAACAGUACAGAAUACUUAAUUGAUAAUGACCAGACAGCAACGAAGAAGCUUCUAAUUGCACAAAGAAAGACGAACAUCCAGGUUUCAUAGAAAAACAGUCUUUAUGCAGGCAAAUUAGCAUUCAGUAGUCAUGGAUGCAACCACUAAAGUCAAAGGCAAAAAUCUGCAGAACGGCAGAACUACAAACCACACAAAGACAGAACGGCAGAACUACAAACCAUUGUUGAGUUACUCCAACAGUGUAAAGAGAAACCAUGCUUGCAUAUCUAUAAUGCAAGAAUUCAAUAGUACAGAAGACUUAAUUGUCGAUGACAAGACAACAAGGAAGAAGCUUCUAAUUGUAAAAAGAAAGACCAGGAUCCAGGUUUCAUGGAAAAACAGCCUUUAUGCAGGCAAAUUAGCAUUCAGUAGUCAUGGAUGCAACCAUUAAAGUCAAAGGCAAAAAUCUGCAGAACGGCAGAACUAUAAACCACACAAAGACCGGACUAAGAAAACAGCUAUGCGGAAAGACAAUGAAUACGUCAUGAAAUUGCAAGAUGUGAUGGGCAGAAUAAAGGCCUGUAGUGAAAUAUCUUAGUUUAAACUUGGAAUGGUCUACUAUUCACCAUCACAUACCACCAUUGCUGAUAUAAACUACUUGGUUUACUACCGAGUGGAUGAAUACACCAACAAAGCAUGGCUCAGAAGAAGUCAUUUACAGCUGGUCAUCUGGGUAAUAAUGUUUCAGACUAGAUCACUACAGUAGGGAUAGGAUAAUUGCUCACUGAGCAGAGCAGGGAGGACAUCUCACCACAUCGACUGGAGAACCAACACAAACAGCAAAGAAGCCAGCGCCCAAACCAGACAAGAUAUGAGUCACCACAUCAUCUUUGAACCCAGGAAGUUUCAGAAUGGUCUGCAACAAUAAGCGACGCAGUUUACGUCAGCAAGAGAGACAAGGAACCAACCAAUAAGAGACAUCAUGACAAGAAGCACACCUGCUUCACUUGAUCAUAGCUGGCCAACUCGGCAGCGUUGAUGAUGGCGUUACGUGCGACGUUCGGACCUAUGCCAGUCCACAAAGCGGCAACCCCUUCCUAAAGUAAAGACGACACAGUCAAACAUACAUAUAGAUGUUGAAGCAAGCAAUUCAGGAAAGUGUAACAGCAAUCCAGCAGUUGGCUAGAGCAGAAGGCAACAGACCUGCCUAACAAUCUUGGCGUAAGCAUCCAUUGCCCCAGCGUAGCGGCGCGGCAUGCCGGGCGCGAGCUUCCCCUCGGACUGAAGCCUGACCUUGACGAGGUCAGUGGGGUUGGCCACAGCGAUUGCAAGGGCACCUGAUGAACAAGAAGAAAAGCACGGAUGUCAGUGAUUAUGCUGCAUUGCAGUUGGAAGGAAGAAUUGGCUUGAUCGAGGGAUGGGGUAAGGUAAGCAACCAGUGGUGAAGCCAGCAGCGAUCUUCUUGGACAAGGGCACAUCCCCGACAUGGUUUUCCCCAACGUAGAAGGACUUGACCUGAAAGGAAGGGAAGCAAAGUCGGUCGCUGUCAGGCAGAGUUGAUUGUCUGGUAGCAGCAGCUAGAAUGGGAACGAGAUAGAGACAAGGGGGUUGGGGAAGAAGGGGAAGGAACGUACGGGCUCGUAGAGACCGAUGCGGAGGCCGCCGUAGAUGCACUGGCGGUGGAGGCCGGGUACGAUGCCCUUCCAGAGCGCGGCGGCCCCUUCCUCCCUGGCGAUGGUGGCGGCGGUGCCGAGCAGGCCGCGGUACUUGAGCCCCCCCGCGACGUCCCCCGCCACGGCCUUCUUCUGCAGCUGCAGCCUGACCUUGGCCGUGUCCAGCGGGAUGGUGGUGAUCUGGGCACACCAGGGAGAAAUCCCCGUGAGAUUCGGAAAUCCGAGCAAGGCAGGGAGAAGAAGAAGGAAGAAGGAGAUCCGGCGGCUGGUUGGGGUUUAGGGUUGGUACCUCGGCGAAGCAGGCGGCGAUGGCGCUGGCGGUGAAUCGGCCGGCGAAGGAGAUGUCGGGCUUGGAGCCGUGGUCCGGCGCCAUGGCUUCGGCUUUGCCUGGCGGUGGCAGCAAGCGAGAGGAAGACGGCGAUCAACUCGGACAGGGACAAGGAAGGCAGGGAGAGAGAGAGAGGAGAAUGGGGGGAAGAAGAAUCAAACCUCAAGGAAGGAAGAAAAGAAAAAGAAGAAAGCAGAGCAGCUUUCCUUUUGCGUUUGCGUUUGCGUUUGCUCUCCACGAAUUCUGGGCUGGCUUCUCUGCCUCUGGCUUGUGCUUAUUAAUUACCUGCAGCAGAGAGCAGAUUUACGGGCGAUUUUAUUCUGAUUAAGGAUCGAUGCGAUGAGUCAGAUGCGCAUCACCUUCUCAAUCCAUCCAUCCACUAGCCUGCCUGGCUGACUACUUACUACUAGCACAAUUUCCCUUCCUUUGAACUCUGCUGCUGAUGAUGAUGAUGUUGAUCAAUCCAUCCUGAGUCCUGAGUUCCUGAUUCAACGGUCUCCUCUGCAGCAGGCCUGCUGCUCCUUUCGUUGCCCUCUUUUUGCAACAAAGAGUUGAACACCUUUUGUUCAGAAACAGAAAAUCUUAAAACCUGAAACACAGUUCAUUUAGAUAUUGCUCUUCUUCUUUUUGGGGGUAGAGGCAGAACAAGAUUUUCAGGGGUUUUUUCUUUCUUCCAAACUAGCUAGCUAGCUAGCUAGUAGUAGUAGUAGUAGUAGUAGUUUUCUUCGUACAGACAAAGAGAUUGGCACCUUGGAAGCAAAUCAGGCAGUGCUUUUUGGCACAUGAUUUGGAGGGGGUGGUACAGGCAUGUCAUCCAAUUCCAAUUCAUUUGGUGCUACCUACUUGGCAGAAUAAAGGGGAGUGCAUAUGCUGCUAGCUGAUUUUGCUGCUGAAUUUCACUAUAUCUGUCCACCACAAAUUAAAAGGGCCCUACCACUCUUCUAGGGAGCUAUAUUCACUUAGCUGGUAACAAACUAAAGGUUUGUUCAAAUUGUUGUAAGUAAUAUUCUAAAUGCCACUUUUUUUUUCUUAAAAGCGUUGGUGAUAUUGAAACGUUGAUGGGCUAGUUACUGCUGAGAGAGAAUGCAUUAUGUUUCAUGGGCUGGACCAUUCUUUCUUUUCCUUCGUAUAGUGCUGAGGUAGGGGGGUUUUUUUGACAGGCAAGAGGGAGGGAUUUUUUUAUUUUUUUUUGAAAUGCAAGAGGGAGGGAUUUGUUACAUUGUUGUAAUCUGCAAAAUGAAAAAAAAAUGUUCCUCUAUUUCUUCUCUAUUUUUUUUGAGAAAUUCCGCUCUUUCUUCUUAAAAAGCUGCUGGUGAUACUGAAACAUUGAUGGGCUAGUUAGUGGUGAGAGAGAAUGCAUUAUGUUCAUGGGCUGGACCAUUACUUCUUUUCCUAGCAAGCCUGGCCCAUUCAUUCUCGCAGACAAUAACCUGUUUUCUUUUGACCAUCCAAAGUUCUACUUUUGGUAAAGCAAAUGUGGACCUUUGAAACUGGAGCACCAUCCUGCGUCACCGAAUAUUCCCUUCACUGGCCCAUGCCCAACACUUGGAACAUAAACUUUUGCACUCAGUUCCAUAUCAGCAAUCCUCAAUUCAUUCCGUUUCACCGUCAAAGCCUAGAUUCAGCUAAACAGUUCAGUAGCAGCUAUCAGUAUUACACUAGCAGGGCGUAACGCUGUCUGGCCGGCUAGCUAUUGUUGUCGCCGCUAAUAACACAGUACAGAUGAUUAAUUAAUAAAAACUGCAGAAACCAAAGGACCAGCUAGCUAGCUAAUCAUAUAGCUGCACACACACACGCACACAUACGGAUGCACCACCACACAGAAGAGAACAGAGCAGUUCAAUUUGUUGGUCACUGAUCCUGGAUCUGCCAUCAGUCAGAAAACUCAGAUAAACCUCAGUAGAUCUAGAUCAGACAUCGGCAAAGAGAUGGUACGUCUUGGAGUCGACGGCGAUGAGCCUGAGCGCGGCGAUGGCGGCGGCGACGGCCAAGACAGUGAACCCGACGACGUUGAACCAGUGCCAUGCCUUCCUCAGCGACGAGAGCCUGUGCCCGUUGGCCACCAGGUACAUGUGGUUGGCCAGCACGAAGGUCAGCGGGAACGUGCUGAGCGCCCCGGUCAGGCUCAUGAAGUCCCCCAGGAACGGCAGCGCCGCGGCCACCAGCGUGUUCACGGCCAGAUAGCCUCCCCUGACGCCCACCCUGAACACCACGUUGUGCGCCGCGAAGGGACCGCCCCGCCCGCUCCCAAACCUCGUGUCCAGGUACUCGUACAUCGGCGACGCAAAGAUCUGCACAUCGAAGAACAUAGAAACAUGAUCUGGUGAACUGGUUCUGUGCAUGAAACUCUUUACUUUUACUGGAAAAAAAAACUUGUAACAACAUGUGUAUAGAUACUUACGUGUAGGGCGAUGACGGUCUGGAGGAAGGCGGCGAGGUUGGCGACGGCCUUGACCCAGACAGGGCCAUGAACACUGUUGAGCAGAUAGCUGGACGUCUCGUUCCCAUAAGCCCAGUACCCAAUGAAAAUCACGGCAUACAACGGCACGGAACCGGCCGUGAACUGCAACCACAGCGCCUUCUCCAUGUUCUUCACCACAGGCGGCUUGAUCGUCGCCUGGAUCUCCGGCAACAUCCCGGUGUUAUACGCAAACACCAAGCUCGCCGAGGCCCCGAUCGUCGUGAACACCCGGCUCGACGGGUCCCCGGGGAUACUAUAAUCCCUCGCCGGCGCCCGGGCCCCGUCCCUCAACGCCAGCACGCACGCCGCCACGAUGUAGAUCAAGCUGAAGGCCGUCGAGAAGAGCAGCCAGACACGGAGCGCCGAGAGGUAAGGGAUGCCGACGGCGAAGAGCGUGCACACGAAGCCGGAAAUGACGAUGCAGUAAGGGAGCUUCAGGGCGCCGUCGUCGCGGAUGAGGAGGUAGAGGGCCUUGAGUGCCUGGCCGGCGAGGAUGACGAAGCCGAUGUUGAUCAUGAAGAGGUUGACGUACUGCAUCGCCCAGGUGACGCGGUACAUCCUGGCGCCGUAGAUGUGGCCGGCGAGGUCCCGGUACCGGAUGUGCCGCUUGCCGCCCAGGAGGUGGAGCUUGGCGAGGAGCGCGUUGGCGUACAUGGAGACUCCGGCGGCGAUGAGGAGCCCGAUGGCGCCGCCGAUCCAGCCCAGGGGCACCAUGAGGGAGCCGGAGUAGCCCAGCACGUAGGCGCUGUUCACCCCCGUCGUCAGCACGAACCCUGCCUGGUACCAUGGAUCUGUGAUAUGUUCAUCAUCGUCAGUUAGUUCAUCAAGCAGAUUGUUAAGCCAUGGAGAAUUCAUCCAGAUUGAAUCAAGUUAAGCCAUCCUAAUUUUUUCUUUUUCAGUUCAUCAAGCGAUUAGCAUGUCAAGUGGUCCAAAAUCUUGUUAGGUACAGUACUGUGCGAAAAUCUGCAUCAACGACUGACGUGACACGUGCACCAUCCUCCCCUGCUUAAUUAACAUGUGCUGCCUGGAGUAUCACUUAGUAGUGGGUUUAGUAGUACACACAAAAAAAAAGGAUUAAAGGAGUAGUACUAGUCCUAGAUACAACCUGGCUGAUGUGCUGUCAGUGAACAUGAAGUAUGUACUUUGGCUCCACACGGAAAGACAAAAUAGGUAUGUAUAUGUUGGCAGUAUGUAUCGUCGUCGGUCAAACCAGCUAAGCUAGCGGCCCAAAAACAGAGACGUUGGGGGUGACGCAAUGGUAACGGAAAGCCUAGGAAGCGUAUGGAUACAAUGGUUACGGCUCAAAUGAUUAGAAAUAUCCAAGAAAAAGAUGAAGAGAUUAUGAGCUCUCCUACGUCAUGGUGGCUCAUAGAUAGGAAGAUAAGUAGAUUGGUGGGUUCUCUAUGACUUGACCAACCUAAAAUUGAUGCACGGAUGGAUGGAUAAAGACGAUGGGGAUUAACAAAGAAGAACAGGAGACCAUGGUCGCCCUAAUUUCUUUUCAGAGGAAUUGAACAAGAAAGCAAGGAAGAAAGAAAGAACAAUCAGAUAGACUGAGAACACUGAUGAAUUAAGUAAUCAAUCAUCUGCAGCGUUUUGUAGGACGGACGGACGGACGUACCGACGCCAAUUUGGUGUGUGGUGUCAUCGGCGGAGAGAGGCAAGUCCUCCUCGUUCUUGGCGACGCCGUCUUCCACCAUGAACACCUUCGUCUCCGGCACCGGCUCCGGUGCCGUCAUGGCCAUGGCUAAUUACCUUAACAAGCAAGGAAUUGAGAUGGAACCGGAAUGGAAUUGAGUAGAGGUAGCAGGGCAGGGCAGGGCAGGGGAGAGCAGAGGGAGGAUGGGCAGAGGGGAGUUGAGGUGUGUUGUUAUUUAUAGGAGGAGAUGAUGGAGGACUGCGUGGUUUGGCAUGGCCGCCGACGACUAUAUCAAAUUAUUUAUUACAUUCCAUACAUGCGUGCGUCAUGUUUAUUUUUUUUUAUUAAAUAGUUACUCCAUGGCUAGCAGCUAGCCAGCUACUUCCACUUUUUCAUGCACAGGCAUUUUGAGGUUAAACUAAUUUUGAUCAACGAUAAGACCAAUGAUAUAUAUGUAGAGUCAAUGUUAUAAAUUUUAUAUCGUUGGAAAUGUUUUUCAAAUACGAAUCUAAUAAUAUAAGUUUUGUAAUACUUAAACCUCAAAACGUUAGUCUAAUUGUUGGUUAAAAUAAAAUUUUGAAUGUCUGUGUCAUCCUUUGUGGAAAGGAGAAAGUCAUUAAUUAUUACUCCCUCUGUUACUAAUUAAUAGGCGUCAGAAAUUUCGCAAAAGAACCUUUGCUAUUUUCCAAAAUCGACCUGCAGUCCAGUCCACGUUCUACCAAAACUUUUGCAAAAAAAUCACUGUAGUUUUUCAAAAUCAACUGCAGGUUGAUUUGGUAAAUUAGUAGAAUUUUUUUUGCAAAAAAUGAUUAGCAUCAAUUAAUUGGGAACGGAGGGAGUAUUUUUCUGGCUAGCCAGCUAAUGGAGUAUUAAUAAGCUUUUUUAUGUCUUGAUUUCAAUCACGUUUUCUUUUCUCCACGCGCACCGGAAUAAUAUAAAGAAAUUCACUGCUCCUUUUCCUCCCAUAAUCAGUCGCGAUCAGACGAAAAAAGAAAGCAAAAGAAAUACACUAGUACUGCUUGUAUAUGUACGAGAGAGACGCGCACUACUACUGGAGAGUAGUAGGACGCACUUGAAAUUGCAAUGCAGAGGAUCGAAGCCAGCAGCUCCAAGUACUGCCAGCCACCCCAACUGCAGUCCAAAAAUCAAGAAAGAAACAAAAACCAACAAACCGACUCUCUGCUCAUCCAUUGACCAGAAACAAUGCACUCUCUCUCCUUUUUUUUCUUUCAUUCUUGGGAGAAAAACAAAAUGAAGCUCUUAUCUUCAGGCUACUAGUAAGUCAGGGGAAAAUGGAAAGAAAAAGCAGAGCACACACAUGCAUAUGUAUCAUAUACGGCGUGUGUGUUAAUUAUUGUAUCAUAUACGGCGUGUGUGUUAAUUAUUGUACAUAUACGGCUGUAUAUACAGGCUAGGAAAAGAAUUAAAGCACAAUUUGUCUUGGGCCUCCAAUUCGAUUGGCUGGCCGGCCUCCGUCACGUCAUGUUCACGCAUCAACUUGCAGCAACAAGCAAUGUAUACAGUGAUAUAUAUAUAUCUGGAAUAUAAUGGCCAUGCUUCCAUCGAAUCCUAUAUGAUGAUGAGCUAGCCUAACUCUCAAUGAUUGAUUGAGAUUAAUAUUAUUCCGAACAAUAUAUCAAACUCGAUGCAUGAUUAAUAUUCCGAUCCAUGCAUGCACGCGAGAGCCUACCUAGCUAGCGGUACAUAUAAAAAGAGAGAAAUAUUCCGUUUUAUUCUUCAGAAAGUCGUACAAAGAAAAAGGUACACUAUAGACUAUAGUCUUUUACUUAUAUUAUAACGUGAGCGACUGGACUUUGCAUGUGUGCACACUGUACAGCUGCUACGUAGUAGCCCGAUUAUAUCGCUCUAAAGGUUUGGGAAUAAUCUCUUCUCCAUCUAAAGCUUUCCAAAGGAUUCGAAAAGGUGCAGAAGAAAGAUACUCCGUAUUAAACCUAACUUGCAAGAUGGGGAUGGGACUCACCAUUGCAUAAUUGUGAACUACAAAAUGGGCAGGCCGGCCCAUCAAAAUGCUCUAGCUAGAGGCAUUUUUAUGGGGUUAAUAAGUUAAAUAAUUUAAUUUACCCCGUAAAAUUUAUUUACCCAUUUUUUCUGGGGUAAAUAAAUUAAAUUAAGAUAAGAUAAGAAUGUAGUACCUAUAUAUACUCACUCCAUUCCUUAAUAUACGAUAUAUUAAGUUUUAAGACAAGGCUGUCCAUGUAUACUGCAUCCCAAAGUUUCGACGUUAUUGUGCGUGUCAGUGAGACGAUUUCCCACUUUCUGGUCACGUUCUCAUGUCGCCCAUUUCCCACGCAUCCCACAAGCUACCACAUACAUAUUCACAGGUAGAGAUACUACAAGCUAGCUAGUGAUCUCAUUCCACACAUAUUUAGUCUCAAUCGGUCACAUGAACAAUUGAUCGACGAUGGAGAUGCGCACGAUAAAAAGCCCUCCCCAAAGUGUUGAGUAGUGCCUUUUGUCCAUUCCACAAUUGCGGGCAGGCGCGCCAUGCAUUCGCGGACAUGCAUUGCAUGCACACACACACUACUGAACGACCAACCAACAACCUAGCGCAACCCAAUAUAUCUGCAUAUCUUAUUAUCACAUUGACUGGACUGCCCGACUAGGCUACUGAUUAGCUCUCUACUCAUUCCGUUUCAAAAACUAAGGCAGAUGACCUUUGUUGGCACAAAGUAAUUUGACCAAGUUUUGGCAAAAGAUAUUAACAUGAUGCCGUACUGUACAAGAUCAGUACACUACGAAAACGCAUUUCAUGAAAGAUCUGUUAUCGGUCCUAUAUAUUUUUCUGUUUGUGUUGUAAGUAAGAUUGGUCAAACUUUAGAAAAUUUGAUAUCGGAUGAAAUAAAAACUGGUGGAGAGAAAUUGUUUAGAAGAAGAAAACAAAUUAAUGAAGCUAGCCUCAUUUAGACUUAUAUAUACUUUUUCCGUCUGAUAUUAACUGAUUUGAAUUUGCCCAUCUAAUAUUUGGGCACUUAAUAUAUAAGUUUGCAUGAUGGAUCGUAGGAGUAGGUUUCUUUGUCUCUGUCGUUGUCUUUGUCUCUGGCUAGCUCGCAUGUGCGCCCAUACUCAGCGGUCAUCAAACGUGACUCAUGAGUGUACAUGUUAUUUCUUCCCUCUGGAACGUGCUUUGCUUCAGUAGAUUAUUAGAUUAGACCGUGCUGUCGAUUUUUGUCGUCCAUUCACUCAAUCCUUAAUUAAUCAUCACCGGGGCUAUAUACAAGUAGACAGGGGAAAACAUGCACGGAAUCGAUCUUCGGUACCAAAUGGAAGGAAGAAACGUGUUUAAUUUGUAAGCCCGAAUGCUAAAGCCCAACGACCACUACUAUAGCUAGUUUGACGCGACGGCGACAACUGGUAGGCCCAACCCACGACAUGGAAGCCCAUGCACCACAUACACACAAAAACAGGAUGGGUAUUUUCCAACCGUCCAUCUUGACUUGGAGCCCCGACACAUGCCAUAGGAGAUAUAAGCGACAAUUAGCCGGAAUUAUUUCUUUUUAACAAAUCAAUCGUUGGAAUGAUUUUUAUAUAAAAUAAGUUCCAAAAGAAGCUAACUUGAUAUAUCGGUCCAUUGAUCUCUCAUCUUACCUUUUCAAAGAUACAUCAUCCAAACGGCUCAAGCAUUUUUUGUAUCAGAUAGACAUUUAACACCUUUCGGUGCUGCAAGGGAACGCAACCUAGCUAGCUGGCCAGGGGAGAUGCAAGCCGGACUCAUGGACAAUCACACAAUGGUGGCAAUGGCAUCGUAUAGACAGAUUGUUGUCAUCUAGCUAGCUAGAUAGUGAUCGCUGUCCAUAAUUCUUGUCUUAAAUUUGUUAAAAAAAUAGAUGUAUCUGUUUUCAAAAAACUCUAUAUACAUGUAACAUUCUGAUAAGAACUAUCGAACGGAAGAGGUACGUAAUACAAGAUAUAAUAUACUCUUCUUGUUUUUAAAUUCUUGUUGUUGUUUUAAUUCAAAUUGAAACUUAAUAACCAUCGAUAAAUCGAGACGAAGACGAGAGGCACAUACCAGCUCCAAUCUGGUGCGAGGUACCAUCGGCGACAACAGGCUGCAGAUUGUCCUCUGCAUCUUCCCCAUCGUUCUUGUUCUUGGUGACGCCGUCCAACACGGUCACCUUCGUCUCCGGCGCCGGCGUGGCCAUGGCGAUCCUUCUAUCUGGCUGCCAAGAAAGGUAGCUUGGGAUAUAUCGAUCGAAAUGGAGUUUGGAUUUGGAGAGAGCAGAGCAGACCGCCGGUGAGAAAGAGGAGCCAGCCAAGGAGAGAGUCGUCUUCUUAUAGGCUGUACAUGUGGAGUCAUCGAUACUAGACUGUAGAUGACUACUGAUUUUUUUUUGGGUCGCCCUUGUCGUCGUCAACAAAUCAUAUCAAUUAAUUUAUUUUUAUUUUGUUUCCAUAUGUCUGCCAACUCAUUUAAUUAUUACUACUACACUUAUUUCUAAGACUAGCCAGACACGUUUUCUUUUCUCCACAUACGUACAUUCCAUUACAACACACCUGGCUAGCUAGCUACUCCAGGUGGAAUGGAAGGGAAUUAAUGAAGACUGCGUUCGUUAUUUUUGGGUUUUAGGACCGCCUUUUCUUAAAAGCUGUUCUAACCUAACUUUCAGGAGGAGUCGUAUAUCAGAUUUAGCUAGAUUUUUAAAAUAGUUUAAAUCAAACUAGCUUAGUAGCCUAAUCCAUUUUAGAUGAAGGCAUCUCCAGUAAGCUGUGGAAGGACAAUUUCUCGGAAAAGCCAGUUCAAGAAGCCGAAAAGAACUGACCUGUUAUCAGGUUAUCAGGGAUAGUCUAACACGUAAAAUUCGCCGCUGCAUGCUUUUUGAUCCGAUAAUAUAAUUGGUCUCAGUCAGAUGGAAAGGAAUCAAAGACGAAGUGAACUACUAUAGUAGUAUAGUGGUACUGUGAGAGAGAUGCGCACUUGAAAUUUGUCCGGCGGCUUUGAUCAGAUAUGCAGAGUCGUACGCUCCUAAAAGGGAGAGGAUCAACAUAAGAUCAGCCUCUAAUCGUGACGGCUUUGAUUCCAUUCCUGGCAACGGAUACUGCCACGCAACUGCAAUCCAAACCCAAGAAAGGAACUGCUACUGGCUGGCUACCAGCGGAUUUAGGAAAACAAAAUGAAAAAGAAUGUAUAUUUAGUACUUGUCUCAAUUUUGACUAAAUUUGAAUGCGUAUACACUAAGUUAUGUCUAGAUAUAUUUAAAUUUUGAUAAACUUGAGAUUUCUUUUAUUGAACGGACGAGGUAGUAGGAAUUAAAUUCCUCGGCGACCAAUCAAAAUUCCUUCUACAGUAUAUAUCUCGUUCCUAAUGCUAAUCUCCAAGCUAGCCAGGACGGGAGAAAUGGAAAGGGAUAUAAAACUGGCCGGCGUGUGCACAUGAUUCAACUGCCCGUGUCCAAUUCCAUUCUGUUCUAUAUAUUUACGUGUUAACUACUUAUACAGGGGGGCUUGCUUGCUCUAUCUAUGCAACAUAUACAGGAGUAGCUAGGAGAACACAAUUUUGUCUUUGUGUCUCUAGCUUGUCUGUCCGGGUGUGCGCCGCGCCCAUACCGGCGCCCCUCAUUUUUGUACCUUUUCUGUUUCCUUAGAAAAAAAAACUUGAGAAAUCUUGUAAUCUGAUUUGGGACUGCUUACCUCCCUGGGGAUUUUGGGGGCUACAAAAGCGUGUUGAAACCUUUUGAAAUCAAUAAAUCUCCAUGUGGUUUUCAAAGUUAAAUUCCUUGGAAAGCCUGUCAGGAGUUGUUGAAAUUUAAUUUCCUCGUCAAAAUUUGAGAAGGUUGUCCUAGUUUUUUAAAGCUAUCCAUAUAAAGCUCUACCCAAGAUGAUAAUUUUUUUUCGUUAAUUAACUGGACAACUAUAUUCCUCUUAAUUAAUAGAUGAAGUCCUUCGGUCUCCAGUUUGAAAAAAAUUUGAUAUUUUUCAAGUUCCUAAUUUCAGUGUCCGAAAUCUCAUACGGAUAUAAAGUCGAUGGUAGCUUGUUUUUAAUUUUGUGUAGCCAAGACAAAAAAAUAUCAGCUAUAACUAUAAGUCGGGACCAACUCUUACUCUCCACCCUUCUCCUUCGCUCGGAAAUUAUUAUUUUUCCGAAAAUCCUCCACGGAGCAAGCUGUAAAUCAACAGUAUAUACUUUUUCUUCAAAAUAAUUGUAGCCAUAUUAAUUUCUUGCUAAUUAUAACAAAGAAAAAGUCAUGGAGAAACGCGAAAUGAAUAUUCUGAUGCAUAUGAGUUAGUGGCAAUCCUAUAAGCGUGUAUAUAAAAGGAAUAUAUAUAUAUAUAUAUAUAUAUAUAUAUAUAUAUAUAUAUAUAUAUAUAUAUAUAUAUAAGGAAAAAUCGGAGUUCUCCUUGAGAAGAAAGUGGUGCAAGCUAGAAAAGGUGUGUAUAUACACAUCGGUCCGAAAAGAAGCUUUACAUAUAAAAUUAAGUGUGAGCGUAGAGGACUUUUGCACACAGACGCACUCUAGUCAGUCUUGCACGUAGUACAAGUAGCUUUUAGUGGGAAUCUGCUUUGGAAGAAUUUCAAAAAGCAUCCAUCCGUUCCGGGAAAGAAAUAAAGAAGAAAGAAAGAGUGUGGGACAUGCAGGAGGACUUGCAAAAUGAAAAGGCCUGCUGAUGAUACAAGGCACGUUACACGCUAGAAAACGGGCCAAAUGUAUGCAUGAAUGCUGGCCGCAAUAUGAGUGCACAUACAGAUAAUGUGUCCAUCUCGCGUUAAUUGAUUUUCUGCAUGACAUAGAGAUGGUACAAAAAUGUGUACGAAGGCGGAAGAAAAUUAAAUCAACAGCAAUAUAUUCUCCUCCCGAUCCAUAAUAAUAAAUGUCGCUGAUUUAGUAUAACUUUGUAUAAGUUAAGUUAACGAGGAAAUUUCUGCCUACUGAUCGAUAUAACACUGAUAACGAAAUAGUGAGUAUAUCUACAGAUGCGAUAGACAUGAUCGGUGAGCUAAGGGCAAUUCGGAAUGGGCGGCCGUGGCCGUACGUAUAUAUAGACAGAUCAUAGUCGAUCAGAUCUCUCUGCUCCAGAGAUGAGGAAGAGGGAUUGCAAACGAUGAUAGAAACAUAUAUACAUGAAUGGUUAAUUAAUUGAUGCGCCUUAUAGACGUAUAAUUAGGGAAGGUCGUUAAUUACUUACCGAUGCCAAUCUGGUGGGCGGUCUCAUCGUCCAGGAUGAUCUCAUGGUCGUCCUCCUCCUCCGUCAGGGACGCCAUUAUUAAUCUGAUCUCCUCCUCGAUCUUGAUUAUUUGAAUAGUUUUCCAGAAAGAUUCUCUCUAGCAGGACCUUUGAUUGAUCUCUAUGGGGCGCCGGCUCUCACAACUCAACUCGAUCCCCAUUGAUGCAUCAAGGAUGGAUGCAUUGUUUAAUUUUUCGCGGGUUUGGGUUUGGGAGAGAAAGAAAGAAGAAAAAAAGAUGAAGGAAUGCUGCAAAUGAAAAGGUCCGGGAAUGAAUAUAACCGGUCGUGGACUGGGUCAAGAUCAGGGAUCGAUGGAGAGGCAGAUUCAUAUGCAUGGAUGCAUGAAUUCAUUCAGAGGCCCUGCACUCUCUCUCACUCAGCCGCCCCAGCAUCCGGCCGGACAAGUAGCUAGGCCGGCCUAACCCUACCCUCAUUCAUCGGAGCCUAAGUGUUGUGCACUUACUUAGUUGCAUCACAUUCAUAUAUAUAUGCAUAUAUAAUCGAUCCAUCCAUAAUCCAUCCAUCCAUCCAUCACGUCUUGUUGUCGCCCAUUUCCUACGCAUCCCACGCCACGCCACCACGUGCAUUGCAUAUAUAUACUGAUCAUGACUGUGCUAGCUGAUCUAUAGCAAAAGCCUCUUAAAUCCCAUGUCUACACACACACGCACGCACGCAAUUAAUCAGAUCAGAUCAGAUCAGAUCAGAUCAUCUUAAUCUUAUCCGAGACCCAUCAACUAGCUAGGGGGCUUAGUUACCUUGUUCAUCUUGCAUUGCAUGCAUGUUUCACUAGUCAUAUGUACCUCGCAAAAAUAAUAAUAUUGUGGUGUCUAUUCUGUCCCCUAUCCAAAACCACCACUAAUCCUUACUCCUUUUUCUUUUUUCAUUUCAAACGGCACACCGCAAAACUAGGCCCAACCCACUACAGACCGCCUUGAGGCCCAACCAUAUCCCCCCAGGAGAGACAAGGCCGUUCUUUGGGACUCAGGAGUAUUAUAAGGCUGGGCCGAAAGUAACACCGGAGGCCUGUGAAGAAGCCCAGGCCCAACAGUAAGGCCGAGAAUCGAAGCCCACACGAUCUCUCUCCUUUCUCUUUCUCCUCAUCGGGUUGGGGAAUCGGGGAUUUCUUCUUCCUUCAUCUCUCUCUUCUGUCCUCUCGUCGCAGGAAUCCAAGCUUAGAGAGCUCUUCCCCUUGUCUCGUCGACGGCGAGGUGCAGGCGGGAUUCAUUCAAUCCUCCCAGCCAUGGCAGCGCCGGCGCCGGCGCAGCACAGGGAAGCUGAGGAGGAAGCGGAGGAGAUGGCGGGCGUGGUCAAGCUCAUCAGCGCCGAGGGUUUCGAGUUCUUCGUCGACAAGAAGGCCGCCAUGGUCUCCAACACCCUCAGGAACAUGCUCACCUCCCCUGGUUCGGUCCCUCACCCAUCCUCUCCUCGAUUCGAUUCCUCGUACGAUCCAUUGAUCCGACCGGCCGAUCUUGCUUCGAAGGUGGCUUUGCCGAGACGCGCGAGGGCGAGGUCAGGUUCCCGGAGAUCAGCACCGCCAUCCUCGAGAAGAUCUGCCAGUACUUCUACUGGUCGCUCCACUACUCUAGGUAAGCGAAUCCCUCUGAUUCACCUUUCCCCUCCUCCGCACACCCAGAUUAUUAUCCAUCGAAUAGUUUGUUUUGGGAGGAUCAGAUAGCUUAAUUGCUUAACCUAGCUAGUCCCUGUCAAUAUAUCAACCCCAAUUACAUGAUCUCUCUCUCGGUCACGAAACGAUAAAUUUGGAUGCCUGGGACAUGCACUUGUUUGUCCUUAACCAAAUCAAAAUCAUCCCCCUGAAUUUAUUUACCAAUUUAUCUUCAGAGUGUGCACUUUUGAAACCUUAAUAACAUCUGUAUGGUUAGACUACCAGUCCGUCUGCUAUUCCCCUGCUUAUCUGCUGUUCAUGUUCGCGGCACACUUGUUUUUUUGUUUAAUUUGCUAAAAGCCUAGUGUAUAAAUGUCCAGAAUUAAAGAAGGUGACAUAGAAGUUAUUUUCUCUCUGUGAUAAACUAAGGUCUUAUCUAUGUGAUUCUUUGACUAAGAUGAAGCAAAUCAAAUGUUUAUUAGUUUUCUUGUGAAAAGAAGGGAAUUUCAUUGUUCUAUGCUCUGUUUCAGAUGUUUGAGGAAAAUUCUCAUGUAGCAUUCAUUUAGACUACGAUAUUUAGGGGCGAACAUACUCCAAUGUAUUUCAACUUGCUUCUCCCUUCUAUGGUUCAUUAAACAUGUCCAGUGGUUAGAUCUUAUGAACCUUGGGAAUUUUAUCUUACUAGUUACGAUACUAAACCAGCAUUCAGUCCAUGAUUCUUCCUUACAAUUUCAGUGCUUUGUGGAAUAUAUCACACGACUUUGUAACAACAGAUAUCCAGGUCUUUACCAUCCUGGUAUCCACCUUACGCACACCAUGACUUGUCUUUCCUGUUUGUUUUUACGUUGCUUCUCCAUGCUUUUACCUUUCAUGUUUAGUUAGCAGGUUACUAGCCAUGCAUAUUUCGGAUUUAGAGGUGUUAUUGCUACUCUAAGCUAAAUAUGUCUUCUUGGAUAGUUUUGUGGUGGCAGAGCAAGAAUAUUAACUGUUUGUAACCUCAUGUGUCCUAGUCCUUGAACCUUCCUUAUUGCUUGCUGCUUUGAUGACCAACCUCUCCAUUCACGUGUUUAAUCAAUCAUUUUGAGUGAGAGUCAUUUUUGGUUCUGAAACAAGUGCAGCUGCUAUGCAUCAAUUGUGUGGAGUCACACCUUACACCAGUACACCAAUAAUGACAAACCAGCUACAAAUGCAGCUUCUACACCGAGCAACCAAUGGCAUACUGUCUAUACCACCUUAGCCACUGCUCUACUCCAGCACCAAUUGGAGUGAUCAACAUAUAACUGGACAGUAGUUCAUUCCAGAAACUGCAAGGGAGGGUAGCUUUGGUUUUGUGUUUUCCUUGGUUGUCGUGUUCUGUACUACAGGGUUUCUUCUUUAUAGAGUUGUACUGAGGGGUUCUUUAUAGAGGUAGGGGCUCACCAGAUCCAGAUUUACAUAGCUUGAAGAGAACAUAUUGGUUGACAGUGUUUUUAGGUUGAAGAAAUCACAUGCCAGGAGAAAAUAAAUUGUGCUCCAAUAUCGACCAACAGGCUAACAGUUGCUACUUCUUUUAUAUACAUAUAUAGUUAGUACAGAGAGUCAGAGAAUACAUAAUCCUUGAACUUGGUUCUCUGUUUAAAUCAGGUACUGAAGUAGUAGAUUCCCGUAUUAGAAUGCCUGACAAUUUUGCCACCCUGAAAAUAUGUACGAUUAAUGGACUAUGUAGCAGAAAAUCUACUGUGCGCUAUUAGUUUUGGCAAGGAAAGGAUGGAUUUAGUUGUUGUUGAUGAAAUCUAGCUUUGUUUUGUUUCUUUUGUAGUGGGAAGGAGACGGCCGAGUUCCCGAUCGAGCCAGAAAUAACCCUGGAGCUGAUGAUGGCCGCAAACUAUCUCGACACAUGACGAAUCUAUCCAUCGAUGCAUUUGUGUUUAGUAGAAAGGAAAAUGUGAUGAUGUUGCCUACCUUGUAUAAUUUUGAUUUGGGUCAAGUAAACAAUUAAGCUUGUUUGCGAUGGACACAGCACACGGCAGGUAUCUGUGGUGACUGACUGUCAACUUGCUUGCUCGCGAUCAGAUCUGGUCACUUGUAUGAUCAAUUGGACUGGAUUGGAUUAGGUCGCCAUCAGUUGCAGGGCCACAUGUUGCUUGUUUGUUUCUACUGCAUGCUAUAAGCUCUAGCAGACAGGAUCAGCUGGAAUGCACCUGUGUUGACCAGCCAGCGCAUACUUUGGCAGAACUAAAAGAACUUCAUUAAUUUGCAAAAUGCACGGGGAUUGGAUUGGGUGGCAACGGUUUGUUGGAUCGCCCUGGAGAUAAUGUUUUUUUAGGAAUUUUUAGGUUACAUAUACUUGGUUGGAAGAGAGAAAAUUGCGUUUGAACCUGUAAUGAAAAGGUUAGUAGUGCUUGUGUUUUGUUUUCUCCAAAGCUAAAACUGGUGGGAUAGUCUCUAUCCUAAGAAAUACUUAUGGUGCAACCACAUUGAUCCAAAUGGUAAAGAGAUAUGGACGUUUCCUUGAGGAAGAUUAUGGCUCACGUAUGGGCGUUGAUGUCGAAAGAUGUAUGGAUUGGGAAGAUGAUGUUAGCCCCAUAUGAAUAAACAGAUCCAACUAAACCAUACUCGAAAAAUCAAUUACACGCCAUCAGAUCAAUACCCUCCGUGUCAUCCUAACAUUUAGAUCCACUCUAAAGAAACCCUUAUUCAUCCAUCUUUCCAUAUUACUCUCUCUGUUUGGGUUUACAAGAUCUCUGCGUAUUUCCGUCGGUCAAAUUGAUGAUCUAAGAACGGUCGUGACUUUACAACAGAGAGAUGAAGGGGAAGGGCAGAAGAAGAUGGAUGUAGUAGUACUUUCUUUAGUUUAAGAUUAGUUGGUAAAGAAAGAGAAAGGAAAUGGAUCGGAAACGGAAACCCCACACACACGUGGACGCAUCUAGUCCCCACUCUACACUUUGAUAGUUGAUACAUACACAAACACAAAGCAGGCCAGGACAGAAGGCUUCGAUCCAAGGAGAAGGCAGAGGCUAGGCGGCCAGCGACAAGAAAAGAUUCCUUCUUUUCCCCCAUCCAUCCAACCCCUCCGUCGCCGGCCGGCGGCGAGCCCCCCACAAUGGCGGCCGCUUCCCCCCUCGACUCCGCCUGGGAGGUAUGUGUCCCCACUGAUCUCUUCUCCCAACCGUCUCUAUCUGUGUAUAUCUGACGGACGGAUCUCUGUGUCGCCGUCGCCGGCGACGAAUGCAGUGCCUGAUCGACAACUUCAGCGAGUUCCAGCUCGCCACCGUCGUCACCUUCCUUCUCCACGAGAGCGUCUUCUUCCUCUCCGGCAUCCCCUCCCUCCUCUUCGAGCGCUUCGGACUCUUCGCCAAGUACAAGAUCCAGGUCUGCCCCCCCGCCUGCAUCACACAUCCGUUGAUCUGAUGCAUUUAUGAUCUAUCUGGUCGAAUGUGUGCGUGUAUUGAUUUCGACAACACAAGAAUAAUUUCAUGGUGGAUGGGACAUCAGUCACCGAGAUAGUCAGAGAGGAAACAUAACCAGACCUUUCUCUGACCUAUCAUUGUGGAACUUCGCUUUUUUCUUCUUUCUCUAACGUGACAAGGAUGACAGUGUCAACAAGAAAGGGAGAUGCAUCUAACUUAUCUCAAAACUGACGUGGACCAAAUAAGAGUAGGAAACACUCCUUUUCAAUUUGCUUUCGUUGUCAUGUUUGAGAAACACCUUAUGCCUCCCGUCCAAAUCGAAUUGCCCGCCCCGAGACGACACGGAAAAUAAGGAAUGCGGAAGCACUUGGUCAGAUGGCUCACCUAAACUAAAAAGCUGGUUGCUUUUCACUGGAUGCGAUCAACACUGCUUGAAUCUUUGCAUAUCUCGACCGAUCUGUUAUAUAAAUUCCCGCCCGAGGUGACAAAUCCUUGGAACACAAAAAUGCUUUAAUGCUAACAGACAAAUGUCUAGGCUUGCAAGAAAUACGUGAAGACGUAGAUUUGUUCGAAUCCAGGAUCAAAUCUCUAUUGAGAAAAUCACAUAGUUAUAUGUUGCAGCUACUAGAUAUUAUACUAAUUGGACUACUGCUAUAGGAAACUCACACCACGCUUUCAGUAUUCAAUAUACUAAUUAGAUUACCGCUAAUAGGAAACGCACGCCACACUUUCAAUAAUCAAUAUAAAUGCCCUGCUGCAAAUUUAGAUAAUCUUUACUGUUCUUUUUGGCACUAAGAAAUAAUCCAAAUUGCAGGACCUACCGUGCAUGCUUUUAGAGUAAACCAGUUUUACAGUACAAUUUCUAAGAACAUUAGUUUUUUUUAUUUCUGUAUUAUAUUAUGUAUUGGAGAUAUAUGGUCCUGUUUUCUGUAUAACAUAGCGUACAUUUUCGUUGGAGUAAAUUUAUCCCAACAAGCUGAUUCUGGGUAUCAUCGAGUCAAUCUGAGCCUCCAUUUGCUUGUUUGGAGCAUGAAAUGUUUCUUGUCAGUGCCUUGUUUUUCUCUUUCUUUAUAAAGUAAAUCAUCCAUGUGAUUCUGUAAGAGAUCUUGUAAUGCUUAAGUUUGGUUUCAGUAAUGGAAGCAGUUUAUCCUCCUGGCUCUUAAAGAACAGACAUGUGAAUGGUCUUGUCCCAUUUUACCAUGCGCACCUUGCAAUUGUAUUACUCGAAUGGUUUGUGGCGCUUAUGCCAUGCUCUGGGUCUUGUUAUUGAUGUCCAUGUUAUCGAAUUUACUUUACUCCGAGCGAUCUAUCUCGUAGUGCUUGUUAUCGAUUUUGCUCCCAAUUCCUAGUUUUCUACUUUCCAGUGCGUGCCAGUUUAAUUUGCUCUUUAUUAUUUUCUGUUGUGAAAUAUUUGGUUCACUGGAACUAUUUAAUUCGGUGAAUAUUUGUGCGUACCUUGCUGCCAGCCUGCGAUACUUGGUUUCCUAAACAAGAAGUGUGCACAUAUUUGCAGAAGAAGAGCAACGCCCCUGCUUACCAGAACAGAUGUGUGCUGCGUCUCAUUCUAUACCAUGUCGGUGUGAAUUUGCCAGUCAUGAUUUUCUCCUAUCCCGCCUUUAAAUUCAUGGGGCUGAGAAGCUCUCUUCCUCUGCCACACUGGUAUUAAAUUUAAUUCCCUCUUUCUUCCUUUCAACAAAAGUAUCCCACCUACCAGUAUUCUUUCUUCUCAUCUAAGAAUGUCUCUUGAGGCAGAAGGAUAACCGAAAUGAAAGUUGUCUAAUCGCUAAUGCUAUCUAUGUGGCUAUGUUGAUGCAGGACGGUCAUUGUAUCUCAAAUUCUUUUCUAUUUUGUACUUGAGGAUUUCAUAUUCUAUUGGGGGCACAGGGCUCUGCAUACCAAAUGGCUAUACAAGCAUGUCCACAGUGUCCACCACGAGUAAGUGAUACUGCUUCACAACCUCUUAUUUUGACAUGCUAUAUCAGCUUGGGAUCAUUCUAAUUUUUAACACGAUAACCUGUGAGCAGAUAUGCUACACCAUUCGGCUUAACUUCGGAAUAUGCGCACCCUGCUGAAAUUUUGUUCCUGGGAUUCGCCACGAUUGUUGGCCCUGCCCUGACUGGCCCUCAUUUGAUCACUCUAUGGCUGUGGAUGGUGUUGAGGGUGUUGGAAACAGUUGAAGCUCACAGUGGGUAUCACUUCCCAUGGAGCCCAUCGAAUUUCCUUCCACUGUAUGGAGGGUAAGUGAGCGAGAAUUCGGAAAGGUGCAUUUUGUCCAUUCAGUAGGUUGCAUAUAACAGUGUUCUGAAUUUCUCCUUAUGGCCAGCUCUGACUUCCAUGACUACCAUCACCGUGUUCUCUUCACCAAGUCAGGAAACUAUGCGUCUACUUUUGUUUACAUGGACUGGUGAGUAUGUUUGUCUUCCAUUGUUGUGUUAUUUGUUGAACCAUGGCUUCUGCUAUGCAUGACAUGCAUCUCCUUCCUUCUUCUUGUGCUAGGUUGUUUGGCACGGAUAAAGGUUACCGCAAGAUAAAGGCCAUCGAAGGGGAAGAAGGGAAGCAUUUGUAAAUUGUGGAAGCUACUCUUUUCUCUCUUAGUCGACUUAUCGAAGCUAGUUUUUGAUCUGUUGUAUUGGUGAUAACAUUGCUCUGAUGGGACGAGACUGGCGGCAUCUUGAUCCAAGGCACAGGCAUCAUUUGAGGCCAUGGAUCCUACAUGUCGUGUCUUUCUUUCUCCCAUAUUUGCUAUCAUGAUAAGAUCAUGUAAUUUGUGGUGAAUUAAAUCUUUUGUGUGCUACUGGGGUUUGUUUGGAGACGUGGAUACACAUCCCAGAGCACAAGUACCUAUUUGAAGCAGCAACAACUUAUCAGAUUAGUUUUGCAAGUCAAGUAAAUAACUGAGAUGUGAUUUGUUGGUUAUGAGUACUGUUUAGUUGUGCCUCUCUUUUUUCUGUCACUUUCCCUUGUAAAUUCAUAUGGCAUUGAUUGCACCUUUCAAAGGAUGCAGAUGAAUACUGACCAUUGCCAUCAUUUUGAAGCACCUGAAUCUGACUGAAGAACAAAACAUGGUCUGCAUUGCAUUGCAGCUAGGGACAUCUGAUACAACAUCUGUUUACUUCAUAUAUGUUUGCUUUUCUCAUAGCUUGGCUGCUAUGGUGCGUCCGCCGUCGACGCAGAUGACCUGGCCGGUGAUGUAUCCGGCGCCGGGCAUGCAGAGGAAGGCGACGAGGGCGGCGACCUCAUGGGGCUUGCAGAAGCGGCGCAUGGGCACCCUUGCCGUCUCCAUCUCGGCGAGCCUCCGUGCCAUGUCCGGGUCUGUGGCGAGCGUGUUGGCGGAGAACUCGGUUUCGACGCCGCCAGGGGCGACGCAGUUGACACGGAUGCCUUGCGCCGCCCACUCUGCAGCGAGGCUCCUGGAGAGCUGGUGCAUUCCCCCCUUGGUGAGUGAGUAGACGGAGAGCGCCGGGUAGGCGAUGAAGCCGGUGACGGAGGACAUGUAGACGACCGAGGACGCCUUGGCAUGCCGGAGCAGCGGGUGCGCGAGCUGGGCGAGGUGGAAGCAGGGGUCGAGGUUGAUGGCCAUGAGGCGGGCGUAAUCGUCCGGCGUGGUUUCGGCGGCGGGCUUGUAGAGUGACUGGCCGGCGUUGUUGACGAGGAUGUGGAGGUCGCCGUGGAAGAGGCCGCGGACGGUGUCGACGAGGCUCUCCCUGUCUGCGCGAACCGAGACGUCGCAGACGGAGGCGGUGAUGUGGUGGAGGCCCUUGCUCUGCCAUUGCCGGCGGCAUCGGUCAAGGUCGGCGGCGUUGCGAGAGCAGGUGUGCACCCUGGCACCGAGGGCAGCUAGCUCCUCGACGAUGGCGUGGCCGAUCCCUUUGGUUCCUCCGGUGACCAGCGCCGUCUUGCCGGCCAGGCUCCACCGGAGCUUCUCUGAAGAAUCAUCCCUUGCCAUCGGUAUCAGCUAUAAUCAAGAUGGUUUUGGGUUCAGUCCACCUCCAGCAGCUAUGCAUGGUGGCUAAGCUAUAUACUCUGUUUGUGUGAUUGUCUUGUUGCAGAGCAUAUGCUUACCUAGGUAAGUUACUAUAGUUAGUUAGUAUUGGAUUCGCCACCCAACGUAUUUACACAGACAAGGAACAUAGAUAAUUUCUAGGCAGGGAUGGGUCCUUUUUGCUUUUAGUCUUCUGUUUGCUGGCCGAUGAAAUCUUUAAUUAAGAGUGUGCAUGCUUGUUGGUGAACGUCUAAGUUUGUAUUUCUUUCGAACAAAGAAAAAUAAGCCGCUCUACAAGAAAGUACUAUCAUUUUCGGUGCUGCGUACACACAGGAGAAAUUAAAAGAUAUUAACAUCUACUAUACCAAAUCAAUAACUAACUAAUUGUCUUGCUAGCUAUACAAUUUCUCUCAUAUUUAGGGUGUACUAAGCACAUAGAGAUGCAGAUGCUAGCAGCUCAAAGUCCCGUAAAAAAUUAAAAAAAAUCAAUAACUAAGCAGCUUUUUUAGCUUAUAGCCAAGGCCACAUGCAUACAAAUGACCAAGCAUCAGCAUCUGCGCUUGUUUUACGGAGUACACUUUCAUAGAUGCAUCAUGUGGGGCCAUAGAGAUAAACGUCCAUGCUGGCGCUUAAUUUGUCCAUUAAUUAUUAAUCAUUACUGUACAUGAAAUGGAACUGCCACAUUUCCAGCACAUGCAUGCAGAUCAGCCAGGCAGGCUAAUAACACAUGGCACAUGGGCAUGGAAUAAGAAUAAUUCGAUUCAAAACAGUAACACACGACAUAUAUGCCCCUGCCCCGGCCACAGUGCAAUGCUCUGCUUUUUUGGCCUUAUAUAUAGGCAACAGCUCCAUCUUGAUCCUUAAUUUGUCAUGUCCACAUUAAUUUGAGGGAGAGCAGUUGGGCUUGGGAUGGGCGAGCACGCUGGGAGUAAGAAGAGGCUUUGUUGGGCCGCCAACCGUGCAUGGUAGUAGGCAUUAUUCAUAUGGAUCAGUGUAGAGCCUGGCCAAUCAUGCAGGCGGAAGGAGGCCCAAUUGGGUUGUUUUCCUUUUCAAUGUCAACAUUAGAUCACCUGAAUGCCCUCAAAAAAAAAAAGAUCACCUGAAACCAAUGCGGUCUUCUUCAUCUAAAAAAAUAAAAUAAAAUGCGGUCUCAUUACCAGGCUUGGUAUGACUGAAACAGUCCAUGCAAGGAUACAGGCAGCUCAGUCCUCCAGGUUCCUCAAUCAAGCAGGCCGCUUGCUGCCUGUUAACUCAGGUUUUACUUCCUUUACCAACAUAAUACUAUGUGUACCAUACAGUUGCCCACAUGGGUCAUUGAGCAAAUUGACAGGCAAGGAAAGGUUGUCCCAGGAGAGGCCAAGAUGUAAGCAAAAAGAUGGAAACCUUGCAGCAAGGGACAUGGUAUGGAGGCUCGAAAGUAAUUAAUCUGAGAUUGCACAACAAUGCUCUUCUCCGUACACAAGUGCACAAAUUGCUGGAUGUUGACCAAACUUGCAUAACUUCCUAGUAAAUAAAAAUAUAUAUUAUGCAACCAAGGCAGGGCCGCACUGAACCAAAGCAUGAUACUACAAGUAGUACAUGUACAUUACAACUCCACCGGAUGAUAGGGGGCACAUGAACAUACUGAAAGAACGACCGAAAAAUAUAUCCGCUUUACAAAUGAAUUAGGAACAAUAAUGAAUGUACAAAAUUCUUGCAACACUUUCACUGCACGCUACAACGAAGCACUUUCAAUUCAGAUAAUACAAUCAAUAAGUGGAUUCCAAAUUGUGAACAGCAUAGAUAUAGCAACGAUAUAAAACACUGACCAUUAAAAAUUGACUGCUUAUAAUAUAAUUGCUUCAAUGCAAGCAGGCCACUUCAGAUAGUGAAAUAUUAUUGGUUUAACCAACUAUGCGCUCAGUAGCCAGACAAUAUUAUACCUGUUAAACUGCGAGCAACAAAUACAGUACAAAAAGCAGACAUGCACAAGUGACAUCAUACCGCAAAUGUCAAUUUAAGCUUACGAGUGCACUGCUUCUACUAGUUCAUCAAAGGGACAAAAUAAAAAACAAACACCAACAAACCAACAUUUUCAAGAAUGAAAAAUUCAGCCAGGGAUGCUCCCCAUCGCAGGUGUUUAUCAUCAAAAAAGCAAGCACUUGUAGUCUGUUCAAUAGGUAAGAAUGGUGAAGCCUGAAGAGUGACUCUAUCGUUUUAGGAUAUGGCAGAAUUACAAAAUACGGGUUAAUGAAAAAAAAUGUAAGAAUAAGUAUACGAUGGUUUUUUAGAGCAUCACCUUUUGUAACUUUGGCUGCUCUAUUAUACUAAUUGUUUCAAAUCUCUAAUAAAUAUGCAAUCCAGUUUUAAAUCCGUUCAAACUUCAAAGGGCUUCAUAGCGUCAGCAAAUGCAAAGCUAAACAAACCAAACAAUUAAAAGAAAAACAGUACUCAGACAUUCAGGCCAGCUUACAAAAUUUAGAGCUAGUAAUGAUAUAUGUCUUCAGUAUUUAGGCCUAGACUGCACUGUGCAGGUCAUUGACGACAUUGUACCAACUAGGUGUGACAACCAGAAAUCGUACCCCCGUAUGUAUUGCAACAAUACUGCAGAAUCGAGGUACCAUAAUAAAGCUCUAACUAAAUGAGAUUUGUGAAUCGAAGUAAGCAAUGUGGUGAAGUGUGUCCAAGGGGCUGCUUACUCAAAAGGAUAUUAUAUUUUCCAGGCAUGGCGAAGUAAGUCUCCGGAGUGGAUCAGAGACAAGAUAAACCUGUUUCCACUGGUUGCAGACUACAAGACUGCGAGUAGACUCGACGCAGCAAUCUUGUGACUCAGUUGUGUAUGUCGUCAUGGUGACAAGUUCGCACGUAUGAUCCUUCCACAUCAGUUCGGGAAUUGAUGCUGCAGGGGGGUCAUGGCUGCAACAUCUAAACGAGCAGAAACCAGGGUUGUCCGCAGGUUUACUGAGAGAAACAAAUCUGCGGGUGCUUAGAAGCUCCUCCUCCUCCCCCUUGGCAUCAUCACGGCCGGUCGAUAUCGGGAACUCUAGGAUUGACAAGGAUGGUGCGCUGCUGCAGACUGUGAUCUUGUAAGCGGUGAUUCGUCGGGUGGCGCUCGACAAGCCGAGGACGAGAAGGGGGCCGUGAGGGAUGGCGCCGCCGAUGAAGGGCAGGUCCUUAUCAUCCAAUUUGGCCCAUCGAUUCUUCGCCACGUCGAACAUGUGUGUGCCCGUCUGCUGCUCAGUUAUCGACGGCCUGUGGAUGCUGAUCUUCUCGGUUAUCGAGACCAGAAUGUAGGAGCCGGCCACGGCUACAUGGGACUUGAUUGUGAACUCCCGCGGGAAGAGGUAUGACCUUGGUGUGAGGUCCCAGGGGAAGAAGGGCGGCCGCGGCAGCUCCUCCCAUUGGCAGCCCACGAGACGGCCAUCUUCUCCCACCUGUGCUUGGGAGAGAUCGAGCAGCUCGAACCAGGGCACGAAAUUGACAUCCCCUAUCACGGCGGGUGUCCUUGCCAGGGCGUAGAUCUUGUCGCCGAGCGGCAGCAGGACCGGGUAGAGCUUGGUGGACAGAGGCUUGGGUCCCGGGAUCACGGCGCCUGUGUUGGUGUCGAAGACGACAGUCUCCGGGGCGUAGUCCGGGGCACGGUUGCCGCCGACGCCGACGAUCCACGGGCCGUGAAUCGACCGCACGGGGACGAACGACAUGCAGUGCUUGGCUUCCAGGCGGGCGAGGUGGGGCGGAAUCGGUGUCGGGGUGCCGCCGGAGCCGGCAUCAGCAGCGAAGGGGUGAACCUUGAUCACGGAGUAGGCAGGGCUAGUGACUCCAUGGCCUACCACUAGGUACACUGACGGCGAAGGAGAAUCCUUUGAGGACGCCUUCUCCGGCUCCAGCUUCGGCUUCUUCCUCCGCCGCGACAUCUCCGCGCACCGCCGCCGCGCAAGUUUUUUUUAUGGGAAGGUUGGUGAUUGGUUUUUUUUUUUUAGAAUGGUUGGUGAUUGGUUUGGAUGAGUGGUUCGGCUCAUCCGGAAAAAAAAACUUUUUCCAGCCAAGUCUGGUGUUUAUGGGCCUGAGGGCUAUUCUUUGCCCUCCCCCCCUCAUCAUAUGGACGCUAGCUAGGGUUUUUUUUCCUGCUAUCUCGCCGCCAGCCUCCUUCCCCCCGCCCCCGGCCGUACUCAGAAACAGGAGGAGAGAUGCCGAUGCCGGAGAAGAAGAUGAAGAGGAAGAGUAGUUCGAGUACCGCACCUCGGCUCAUUCGCGUUCGCCCAGCUGGGAGCAAGAAGAAGAUGCCUUGUAGCGAGGCUGCGCAGCCGGUGUACCUAGUUUUGGAGCACUGCGGAGACUCCAAGCCCUACUACACCGUCAUUGAGGCCGCCGGCGGCGCCGCCUCCCACACCAUCCAGAACCUCAGCGACGGCAUGUCCUUCGCCGCGGUGGAGUCGGCGCGGCACGGGCCCCGGAUCGUCGGCGUCGGCCUGCGAAGCGCCACUGUCUACAACCCCAAAACCUCCAGGGAGAUCGCCGCCCCCUUCCUUCCGGACCGCAAGCUGAACCCCGUCCUGAUCGCGCACGGCAGCAAGCUCUACGCGCUCUCCCGCGUCCCCUCCGUCGUCAGGGGCAUCGACUUCGACCCCUGGUUCUUCGUCCUCGACCUCGACGACAGUUACGCCACCACCGGGACCGUCAGGGGCACCAGUUGGCUUAGCCUGCCGCCGCCUCAACCCGCUCGAGUACCGCGACCCGCCCGAGUACCGCGUCGCGUCCUACGCCGUCGUCGGCUCCCACAUCCUGCUCUCCGCCUCCGUGCACCAGCAACCAGAUAAACAGGGUACAUGCGCCUUUGAUGUGGACGCCAAGGAAUGGCACAUGGUGGAUGACAAGAACCUGCCUUUCGUCGGCCAGGCCGUGCCCCUCGGCGACCGCCGCUUCCUCCUCCGCCAAGGCGAAAGGCGGCGCUCCGACGGUGUACUACAUGGAGAUGCAGGUGGUCUUUUCACCAGGAAGAAGCUCAUGCUGUACCAUUAUAGAGUUGGCGGUGGUAUCUGAGGGCAUGGUGCCGGGGCAGCUCUUGUGCGCCAUGGGGAACGGCUGUUUCGUUUCUUUCGACGUUGAUGAUCCCGAAACAGAUGAUGACAAGCGGCGGUGGCGGGACAAAGCACGCAUUGUUCAUCGCAUCUACUCUCAGGUUCUCGACGCCGAGACCAAAUCGGUUGUCACAGCGUUGCAGCAGGAGCACGUUUACAAACUGCGUGAUCCAUACCAUCAUUUGGAUCCUCCUACUCGUGUGGUUGCUGCGGUAACUAUAUAAGCAUGGAGCAGAACCAUCUAAGGUUGUUACAGUAAAAAACAUAUGUGAUGAAGCAAGUUAAUUAGACAGUACUUUCACCGAGAUGUGCUGCAGCAAAAUGCACCGAGUUGUGGCCACCUUGGAUGGUAUCUUCUUGCAUGUAGGCCUUCCUUCGUCUAUCUGUAAGCAUGGUGGAUGUCUGCAUGCUAGUGGAGUGCCAUGUGUUUGCUCAGCGUCUUAACUAUGAAUUGUAUUGCCACCGCACUGCCCAUCUAUUGGGACCGCGACGAGCGAGGUCCAUGAACUGGGCGUUGCCGGCGCUAAACACGUAGUACAGCGGUAGGCAUUCAUAUGGGCCGGUGUAGAGCCUACAGGCCCAUCAUGCAGGCAGAAGAAAAAUGCCCAAUUGGUUACUUGUUUGCCGUUUCUCUGAAAUUCGAGACCUUGUUAAUUGUUAUGCGUUAAGCACUUGCACUUCAGAAGAGUGCACUAACUCAGGCAAGCUGAUGAGGCUAAAUGCUGAUGGGCUAAUUUUAUUGUAGAAAUUUUCUCGUGUUCCCGCUAAAGGAAAUAAUUUUCUCGGGUUUAGGGAUUAGUUUUCGCUUGAAGAAAUAGUUUUCUAAGCUUUCAGAAACUUUACUGAGGAAUAAUGAAAAGUCAUGAAGAAUAAUUAUCUGCCAGACAAAACAAAUUAUAACAAAAGAGUUGUCCAAGUUAUUUUUAUUUAAUUUUGUGAUGAUAUGCAAUCGUGAAAUAUGCAACCUGAGAGCAUCUCUAGCAGAUACCGUAUAUCACCCUGAUCUCUUAUUGUUUCGGCAAAAAAAUAAUAAGACUCAAGCAGAUCCCGUAAAAUCGACCGGCCCAUUUUCCUUCUGGAUCCCCCUAAAAUCACCUGCUGCCACACUAUAUGUCCAGUUCCCCCGCGAGAUUUUUGGGUAACCUGCAUCUCCUAAUUAAAACACGUUUUGCAGGGCUGCAAUUUCAACUCGUGCUCUUUCGAUUCCACACCUGCCUCGUCCUCGAAACGAGCCGCCACGGGCUGCUCCUCUGGCCAUUGCAUAACUGAGAAGAUUCUAGAAUACUUAUAGAUAUUUACAAGAAGCCUUCGAGCUCCCUAGAAGGCUUGAGAGGUUGCAUGAAUGUUGAGAUAUUUGUCAUGUAAGCUCCUAGAGCAAUUUCACCACGGUAAGAUAGAAAUAUUCUGGAAAUCUCUUGGUACAUGAAGAGUAGUGCUAUUUACCAUGAAAGACACUGGUAGAGCAAUAUUUUGAUGGAAAAAAUAAGAAAUAUUUACACUAGGAUAUUUUGGUAGAGUAUUCUAGAGAAUAAAUAGUUGUCAUAUGAUGUUUAAGAUGAUGACACUUUGAAAGGGCAUUUCUAUCCCAUUAUUUGUUAAUGAUAACAUGAUAGUGGACUAAUAGUGUGCUAAGUAUUUCAGAUUCGAUAUCAAAUGGCAGCUUGUAUCCCUAAAUUUUGAAAAUAAAAUUAAAAUUGUUAUACUCACCUAUUUACACACCCAUCUAGUCGACCAUAUCGAUCUUUCACACUUGUCAUGCAUUAAAUGAUAUUGUAAAGUAUAAAUAGAGGUGUUGCCUCAUCACAUGAUGAGUAUUGUACCAAAAAGGUGUACCAAGCAUAAGAUGUUAGCUAUCAUGAGUGAGUUUAAAGUUAUGUUAGUAACGUAGAUAGUAAAAUUAGUGUUGUGACAAAGUUGUGAUAACAAAUAAAGUCUUCAAUUCUUCUCUACUAAGUGUGAUUUUUCAAUUAUUUUAAUGUGAAGUGGUUAUUAGGUUCCUCUACAAAAUAUGUACAUAUACAAUGAAGGUAGGAAAACGCGUGGGGUUUAUAUGCACUCAAAUCCACCGAACUACUCACUCAAAUACUAACAUGUGUCUUCUAAUUUUGCAGAAUUUAGCAUAUAAACUUAUCCCACUAAAAAAAUCGAAUUCAGUCUAAUAAAGGCAUAAUCAAAAUAAAAGAAACGAUCGAGAAUUACCCCAAACUCUUUCUUGCUCUUUAAAGAAAUCAUGUAAAGAAACGCUUUUUUAUUUGCCUUUUUGGAAAUCCUAAUUCUGAAAAUCAUGGCUUUACUCACAGGCAUUAAAGUAAACUACUUUCCGCAUGUAAGUAUGAUAUAUUUCCACGCCUUAUGAUCAUUAUGAAAUCAUGGCUUUACUCACAUGCAUUAAAGUACCAAUAUAUGUCUUCUUCUCUUGUUGAAUCACAUAAAUGUGGAUGUCUUUUUUCAUUGUUGCAGAAUGCAAAGGGCUUAAUCCAAACUACAACAGAAGACAAUUGUUAGUAUUUAAUAACAAGUCAAAUCAAGUAAUACAAAUGAAAAUGGUCAGAAACAAACCUAAAAAACACAUAGUUUGGGCCUUCUUUUUGUAACGUAUAACAUAACUUAGUUUCUAGUGGGACUUUAAUUACUACAAAUUCAGAAGCUUUAUCAUGACAUAAUUUGCAACAGUUUAUAUAUGCUUAAGCUGAAAAAUACACGGAGCUCAUCGUGUAUAGGUUUAGCCCGCGACAAUUUGUCAUUUAUAGUCGUAACACAAAAAACCACAUCAUACUAACAAACUUAGAGAUAAUAAAGCAACCUAACUAAGAGACAAGCUACAACUAGAAAUGUUCAUGUAUUCUAUCAAUCGUAAGUUUUCUUACUCCAUCUAAACACUUGAUGCAAUUAUAGGAAAAUAACCGGAACAUGUUUCCCCAUAUCCAUUUUGAAUUACACUUGAUACUAAUAUAUGUAAGAUAUAUUAGUAAGCUAUAGCAAAAUGCCGUGUCAUGUCAAGUCACCAUUGAAAAUCGCAACUUAUAAUUUCUGUAUAAAAACAUCACAAUUAACCUAGCUAGUCAAGGGCUCAAGGCCGAGAGGUAGCAAAUGUCCCAUCUCAUAUUGGAGCUUGCGACUUUUGCAGCCAAGUCAAUCACGUACGUAUUCAGGUCCACGAUCGAUUGGAUGACAUUAGACCUUCCAACAACAGAUCAUAGACAUUAAUUAUACGCUUAUAGGCUACAUCAUCCCACGGCAGAGGGGGGAGACUGUGUUGCCCGAGCUAUAUAUCGUGAUACAUCUAUUUAGUUAAUCUUGUAGUUUUAUGUUAAUUUCUAUUUAUACAAUUAUCGUAGAAAGAAAGGUAUUAGCCAGAGUGUUCAAUAUUAAAAUUAUUUUUUUCUUCAAAAAGGAGGUACGACCCCAGCCUCUUGAGAGAGAGAGAGAGUGAAGUAAUUUUUGUGGACCACGCGAUAUGUGCAAUUUCGAAUGCAAUCUAAGCUAGAUACAAAACAAAAGAACUAGCUAGUUCAUGAAGCUUCUUGAAAGUAAUUUUCUGGAUCGGUGGUGCUAUUUGAUCGAUCAGUCUAGAUGUUUCAAGCAUCUAGUCUAGAACUAGCUAGAAUGAAAGGAAAUUAAGAUGGAGUUUUUUUGGUCAUCGAUCAAUGUCGAUCGCUCCGGCAACGCAACGCAAUGGAGUAGCUAAAGAGCUAGCUAGCAGGGAAAGCUAGGACGAUGCAAUCCUCAGCGUGUGGCUCGUGGGAGACAUUGGAUCUCGUCCACACAAUUUAACAUCACCCAUCGCUUUGCUUGCAUUUCUUGAACUAGCUUAGCUACGCACACAUGCAUGCAUUCAGCUUCACAUAUAUCUCUCUGCAAGCAUGGGUUAGAGCCUAUAAACACAUGAAUUAGGACUUAAUCAUGGACAUUCUCUAGAAUAGUCGGGCACGGUCUAGGCUAGUCCAGUCGUGUUGGACGCUAGCUAUAGCUCCAUGGCCGUCCUCUGUUAUCUCUACUGCUCAGUGCAGCUAUAAAAGAGCGAGAUCGAUCGACAGCCAGCAGCUGCAUUGGUAUCAUCAGCUCGAUCGAUCAGUAGUGUGAUCUCAGAGCUCCCAUCGCGAUCGAGCAGCUAAGCUUAUAAUUAUUAAGCUCAGCUGAGCAAGAGAACUAACUGUAGAAAUUAAGUAAGCACCAGCUGAAGCGACGAGAAAACGACAGUACGUACUGUACGAUAUGGCUGCUGCUUUCUCGUCCACCCUUGGAGCACCGGUACGUAAUUAAUCACUUUCUCAGUUCUAGAACAAGUGACGUGAAUUUGUAUAAAAAUCUAUGCAAAUCCACGUAUAUAAAUCCACGUCACUUAUUUUGAGACGGAAGGAGUACUAGAGUUGCCAAGAAGUAAGGUAUUAAUCCAGUGGAUAUAACGUUAUGCAUAUAUAUGCUUCAUCGUCAACUAGAGCUAGCUUACUAGCUGCACUGUCGGUCAGUUUUAAUUACUUGCUUGUCAACAUUAAUUAAUUCUCCGAAUGAAAUGACCAAAGUGAUAGUAUAGUAUUUUAUUUACACUAUCUUUAUCAUGUCUCAUGAGUACUAUAUAUUCUGCGUUUUGUGCUAACCAAUUCAAUCUAAUGAUCAUGCUAUCUUAUUUGGAAAUGUGUGCAUAGGAAUUACCUUGAUGGCCUUUUUCGGUCUGGCCAGGAUCACGGCUCAAUCCACGGGUUCUUCCGGCCGCAAAUCCCGGAUGUACCAAAAUGGGCGUUUAGUUUUGGACUUUAAGGGCUUUUCCUGUACUAAUCUUGUCCUACCCUAGCCGAACCACAAGAAAAAAAAAUCAUGAAUCUCAACCACGUAAGGGCUUGUUUGGUUUGAGGGGGAUUGACAUGGAUCGGAACCAUGCCAUUCCAUGUUGUAACCAAACAAGGUCUAAAAGGGAUUGUGACCAAAUAAGGUCUAAAAGAACUUGACCCAAGGAGGUGGGAUCGUAUAUCCACAUAUUUAACUAAAUAGGUUUGAGCUUUUGUAGUAUUAUACUCCAUCCAUCGACUUGUAGUGGACAUGCAAAUAUUUUGAAAUUUAAAUUUCGCCAGUAAUUUGACCAAUAAUAUAUGUAAUUUGUAUUUCACAAAAUUAGAGCUACAUAUUAGUGAAAAACUUAACGGUGUAAUGUUUAUGCUGCAUAACCUACAUAUUGUUGGUGUAAUUGAUAAAUUUGAAAUACAUGGUCGUCCAAAGGAUGGAGUAGGACGUAUGACUGAGGAGAGCCAUUGGACCAACCAAUCAUUUUUAAGACGUCUCCAAAACCAAAUGAUGAUUAUAUGCUAAUUCCCUCAUAUAAAUUGCAUAUUAUCUGACCUAUUUUUUUAUAGCAAAAACAGUGUUACUAAUUUUAGUCUCCCGUUUGUUUUGUAUAAAAAGAGGGACCGGCGACAGUUGGAUGCUGCUUGAAAUGCUUACAUUGAUGAGUUAGGUCCACAUUGGUACCAAAUGCUGCCUUAGAAUAUGGGGAAAAAGUUUAAUUGUCGCAAAAUUUGCUUUCUAGUAGUAGGAUUUAUAUUAACGUCAGGUACGCAAUGAAGAACCAACUGUACUAAAUUAUAAUGUGCAUACAUAGAUAAUAUUUCUCUUAGUGUAACUAUCCAUCGACUGUGUGAUAAAAUAAUCAAUAAUGUGCACACACACAUAUGCAGGUAUCGACCCCAAGCAGCUUCCUUGGGAAGAAGCUGAAGAAGCAGAGCAACAACUGCUUCUCCAACAAUGGCGGCAGCAGCAAGACCAUCAAGAGCAGCAGGCCGUCGCUGGUCAGGGUCAUGGCGGCGGCGAAUAAGGACGUCGACGAAGGGAAGCAGACGGACGGCGACCGGUGGAGGGGGCUCGCCUACGACAUCUCCGACGACCAGCAGGACAUCACCCGUGGCAAAGGCAUCGUGGACGCCCUCUUCCAGGCCCCCAUGGGCGACGGCACCCACGAGGCCGUCCUCAGCUCCUACGAGUACAUCAGCCAGGGCCUCCGGCAGUACGACUUCGACAACACCAUGGACGGGCUCUACAUCGCCCCGGCUUUCAUGGACAAGCUCGUCGUGCACCUGGCCAAGAACUUCAUGACCCUGCCCAACAUCAAGGUCCCUCUGAUUCUGGGCAUCUGGGGUGGCAAGGGGCAGGGGAAAUCGUUCCAAUGUGAGCUUGUGUUUGCAAAGAUGGGGAUCAACCCGAUCAUGAUGAGUGCUGGGGAGCUCGAGAGCGGCAAUGCCGGUGAGCCGGCGAAGCUGAUCCGGCAGCGGUACCGGGAGGCGGCGGACAUUAUCAAGAAGGGCAAGAUGUGCUGUCUAUUCAUCAAUGAUCUCGAUGCCGGGGCCGGGAGGAUGGGUGGAACCACGCAGUACACGGUGAACAACCAGAUGGUGAACGCUACGCUGAUGAACAUCGCUGACGCGCCGACCAAUGUGCAACUUCCAGGGAUGUACAACAAGGAGGAGAACCCCCGGGUGCCGAUCAUAGUCACCGGCAACGACUUCUCCACCCUCUACGCGCCGCUCAUCCGAGACGGGCGCAUGGAGAAGUUCUACUGGGCGCCGACCCGCGAGGACCGCAUUGGCGUGUGCAAGGGCAUUUUCCGCACCGAUGGCGUCCCCGACGAGGCGGUGGUUAGGCUCGUCGACAUGUUCCCGGGGCAGAGCAUCGACUUCUUCGGCGCGCUGCGUGCCAGGGUUUACGAUGACGAGGUGCGGAAAUGGGUCGGGGAAAUCGGUGUGGAGAACAUUUCCAAGAGGCUGGUGAACUCGAAGGAGGGCCCGCCCAAGUUCGAGCAGCCGAAGAUGACAAUCAGUAAGCUCAUGGAGUAUGGGCACAUGCUUGUCCAGGAGCAGGAGAACGUGAAGAGGGUGCAGCUUGCAGACAAGUACCUCAGUGAGGCUGCACUGGGUGAAGCCAACGACGACGCCAUGAAGACCGGGUCCUUCUACGCCAAGGCCACUUGAUUCUAGUAAUUAAGAAUGCCGUCACUAUAUAUGCAUGUUUGGAAAAUUCCGUACCUUUUUUGAUUCAUCGCCGCACAGGUAAACGAUUUGAAUUGUAAGUUUCUGAAUACAAAGAAAUGGAAUUGUAUAUGUGAAUUACUUGUUGGAACAUUAUCAUAUAUCUGGAAAUCCUCUGAGGCUUUCUUGAUUAGGUACCGUGGGGGUCAUAUAAUUGGACAGAGAUUGUGAUGCAAACGGCUGGAUUAUUGUUUCAAGAAGAAAGAUCAAUGGUCUAUACUAAACCCAAAAAUCAAUUAAUGAGACUUCCAGGGAAAUUGAUCUUGGCAGCUCAUACAUCAAAGCAUUGCAGAAAUGACAUGCUUAGCUGUUUUUUCUCAAAAAAGUACAGACAUGGCUACCUUAAUUUUAUCUUUUCCAUACUGAUGUUUUACCAAAGAUGCAAUGUAUGGAUGUCAUGCAAGUUCUUUUAUUUUUGCGGUAAUAAUGCGAAGUAUGAAGCACAAACGUACAACACCCAUGUGCCUUGAUGUCAACAGGGGCCGACUUAACUUGUGUGGUACCAAUUGACAGCCCUAGCUUGAUGGUUAUCAACAAACCAGCAAAUAUAAGCCAGCAACAUAUUUUGUGGUACUCGAACUAGGAUCCAAUCUCGGGUGCCUCAUCCAACAAGCAACAUAAGAGUUCAUUUUUGUGUGGUUAUGGAAUAGAAGACCCCAGCUUUCGGCUAGCUGAUGAUCAACAAGACACACUAUCUAUACACCGUGAGUCCGGGUGAAAAGAAACAAAAAUGAAAGGCAAGGAAAGAAGAAAGGAUUCUGAUCAGAGAAUGGCUAGAUCCUGUGGCUGUGGAAUGUUAUAGGAUUCGAGCCAGGAGAUAUCAUAUAGCUGAGCUGCAAGCUGCAGCGUUUGGUCUUCACAGUCCAAGUCAUCCAAACCAGCGGGGGCCAAGAUGCACCCGGCCAGAACCCAAUCUCCAGUGUGUGGCCUGUGGGGGAUCAAGAAGCUGAUCCACAAGCACGGGUGUGUGUGUGCCACCUCCCAGCAGCCUCCCACAGCAACAAGAUGGAUAUCCACGUGUAUUUAAGGCAUCUCAUACCUCUGCCUCUAUACUUUGAGCAGCAGCAGCCAUUACUUGAUCAUCUGAAAAAUCUUAAUCCAGAUCAGACCAAGCAGAGCAGAGAUGUCUGCUACCUUCUCGUCCACCGUCGGAGCUCCGGUGCGUACCACACAUCGAUUCAUCGGUCCACAGCUAUCUUUUCUUAAUGGUAUCAUGUCUUCAAUGGCGUCUUGUGUUGUGUCUACAGGCUUCUACGCCAACCAGCUUCCUUGGGAAGAAGCUCAAGAAGCAGGUGACCUCGGCCGUGAACUACCAUGGCAAGAGCACCAAGGCCAACAGAUUCACAGUCAUGGCCAAGGAGGUGGACGAGUCAAAGCAGACUGACCAGGACAGGUGGAAGGGCCUCGCCUACGAUAUCUCCGACGACCAGCAGGACAUCACCAGGGGGAAGGGUAUCGUCGACUCGCUCUUCCAGGCGCCCAUGGGCGACGGUACCCACGUGGCCGUCCUCAGCUCCCAAGAGUACAUCAGCCAGGGCCUAAGGAAGUACGACUUCGACAACACCAUGGGAGGCUUCUACAUCGCCCCAGCCUUCAUGGACAAGCUCGUCGUCCACCUCUCCAAGAACUUCAUGACCCUGCCCAACAUCAAGGUACGCAGCCAGCACAUGAUCAAUUCAUGACUAUUUAAUUUAAUUUAUUAGCAGUAAUACAAUUGAACAAAGCUGUUUGUGAAGCUUUACUGUAAUUUGGGUGCUAACGAAUCGAAAAUUCAGGUGCCACUCAUCUUGGGUAUCUGGGGAGGCAAGGGUCAAGGAAAAUCCUUCCAAUGUGAGCUUGUCUUCGCCAAGAUGGGCAUCAAGUAAGAACUGUUUGAAGUUACUUUCAUCUAUUGUUAAUUGCCAGCAACACAAAUAUCAUGUCUGCACCCGAAUUAAGCAAGUAGUAACAGAUGAUGAUGUGUGCUUGCUACAGCCCAAUCAUGAUGAGUGCCGGAGAGCUGGAGAGCGGAAACGCCGGAGAGCCAGCCAAGCUGAUCAGGCAGCGGUACCGUGAGGCCGCAGACUUGAUCAAGAAGGGUAAGAUGUGCUGCCUCUUCAUCAACGAUCUCGACGCUGGUGCGGGUCGGAUGGGCGGGACCACCCAGUACACUGUCAACAACCAGAUGGUUAACGCCACCCUGAUGAACAUCGCGGAUGCCCCCACCAACGUGCAGCUCCCUGGGAUGUACAACAAGGAGGAAAACCCCCGUGUGCCCAUCAUCGUCACUGGUAACGAUUUCUCCACGCUCUACGCGCCACUCAUCCGUGACGGUCGUAUGGAGAAGUUCUACUGGGCCCCCACCCGCGAAGACCGUAUCGGUGUAUGCAGGGGUAUCUUCCAAACUGACAACAUCAGCGACGAGUCCGUCAUCAAGAUCGUAGACACCUUCCCAGGCCAAUCCAUCGGUACGUUCCCUGCACUCCACCGAUAAUAGUAUGCAUACAUCAAUGCAAGAGUAGUAAUUAACAAAGGAAAUGCUGAUCCCAAAACAGACUUUUUCGGAGCGCUGCGUGCCCGGGUGUACGACGAUGAGGUGCGCAAGUGGGUCAGCUCAACCGGAAUAGAGAACAUCGGCAAGAAGCUGGUGAACUCGAAGGAUGGACCGGUGUCCUUUGAGCAGCCAAAGAUGACAAUCGAGAAGCUCCUGGAGUACGGCCACAUGCUCGUCCAAGAGCAGGACAAUGUCAAGCGUGUGCAGCUUGCUGACAAGUACAUGAGCGAGGCUGCUCUGGGAGAUGCUAACUCAGAUGCCAUGAAGACUGGUUCCUUCUACGGUUAGAACACUCUUCAUACACACACCAUCUCUAGCUGCAUAGGAGGAGGUGAACUACAAUCUUUUUUUUUCUAUUUUCAGUAUCUACUUUACAUAUACUUCAAACUUGUGUACUUCCAAAAUAAAAGGGAGUGAAUUAUAAGCGACAGCGAGAAAUUAUUCUUACCUGUUCUUCUGGCACAUCAAGCUGAUCUUCUCAUUGCAUUGUGCAAAACAACUAAAUUUCAGGUAAAGGAGCACAACAAGGUAAUUUGCCCGUCCCAGAAGGUUGCACUGACCGGAAUGCCGAGAACUACGACCCAACAGCAAGGAGUGACGACGGCAGCUGCCUUUACACCUUUUAAGCAUGCCACUUUAAUUAUUCUGAUGUUUCACUCUUUGUACCUAAGUACCGCAUUGCAUCCAAGCAAUUGCUGGGCAUGAAAAGUUUUUGUUCAUAUAUAAAGAUAUUGAGUAUAUUCAUUUGGUGAACAGUAAUAUAUAUAACUACUUAUCCUUGCAGUAUUCAUUUCUUAAAUAAUUCUUAGUCUGACUCUGAUAAGUGAGGAAAGCUCCUGCUUGUUGGAAACAAAAUAGAAGUAACAAUUUGAGGUUCAGCUUGUUUAGGGUCGAGAGUUAGUGUCGCUGCUGUGCGAAUGCCAGCCCAGGAUUGAUCUCCCGUGGUCACAUCUCCGGGUGCCUCGUCUUUCUUAACUCGAUGAAGUGGCUUAAGGAGAUAGCAGAGAAAACAGAUAGUGGGGGGCGUCUGUAUAGGCAUAUACGAUUAAAGAGUGUACAGGGGCUUCUCCCCCUUAUAUCAUUCAGCUUCCGCUUGUUGUUGGACAAACAAAUGAAAGGAAAAUGGGGAGUCAAUUGCAAACAUAAAAUAGAUGCACUAUGUUAAUAUCAAACCUGCUGAUCCAACAUCCGAACUGAAAGACAAAUGAAAAGAAGCAGCUGGUUUUACCAAUGGCUCUGAAAAGCUACAUAUCCUCAAUACCUAUCUAGAUCAUGGGUGGUUCCGUAAGACCAAGAAGUGCGUGUGGCCAAGGUUGUCCACCAAUCGGUAUUUUGUGCCCUAUUGUUCAAAGCGGUCAUGGAAAGUUGCAUAUUUCAACAUCUUUGUCAAGCUGUGUAAUAGAAAAUCUAUGUGUUUGUGGUUGUGAACUGGGCAAGAUUGUUUACUAGCGCAACUGGGAAUACCAAUUCUUGUAAUUUUGAAGUCGCAUUCAGUAAAAUGUGAUGUUCGAAUUGUGAACUAAUCAAUGAGGAGAAGCAUAGGAAACUAGUAUAAAGCAAGUGUAUGCAGCUUUAAUCAUUUUGUGGACACAUGCAUAAUUUUUUUAAUGUUAUCUGUAUGUAAUAAAAGUGAGGUGACGUGAGUUACUUGUUCCAAUCACUUUGCCCAAUUUAGUUGUUGCUUAUCUUAUCACCGCAAAAGAUUUAUCACUGAGUUCUACUGUGGUGGCUAAAUAAACCAGUUUGUUCAAUCAAUCAACAACCUAAUUCAUCAGAACAUUUCUGAGACCCUUUUGGAGCGUACAAUUUUCAGUAAAUUAAGAAACAUGAGCUGCCGAAAUGUUUCGGAUCCAGUAGCUGAAACAUGUGUUUGGUGUUAUCCAAUCGAUCCAGACAACUCCAACGCAUAUCAAUGACACAGGACAAGGAAGUAAAUGGAAGGAGGGAUUACCGAACUAGAUUGCGUAGCAGUGUACUCCUCGCAAGCAAGAUAAAGUAGCAGCGGUUGGUCGCAGCAAUCGGCCUCCAUUCCCUCGACGAACAAAACACGGAAUACUGAUCAGGUAUUUCGACAAACACCUGGCAGGCAUAUCGGCGCGGUGAUGUGGUCAGAGAAACGAGGAAUCAGAAGGGGACGGAGGGAGAGCAUAUCUACAUGUAUGCUAGAUAACGGAAGCCGCGUGCGCCUGGCGCGGUGAACCUGGAAAAGCACGGCCACC
rnacentral:lncRNA from 1 species